rnacentral:lncRNA from 1 species
AUGAUCCAUGGACAUUCCUUGGGAUCACCACAAACAAGCUUUCUAAUGUAUCAUUUUGCAACCAUAGAAUCACUGAGUAGGGAUGGACCCCAAAGAAAAACAUCCAAAGCUCAAGCAUGCCUAAGAGACAACCUCCAAGGAAGGAGGACCUGUCAUCUUCUAAGGUUAUUAUUUAUUCUAUUUUCAACCAGGACUUAUUUAUUUAUUUAUUUAUUUAUUUACAGUAUUUAUAUUCCGCCCUUCUCACCCCGAAGGGGACUCAGGGCGGAAUAUAAAUAUUGUAAAUAAAUAAAUUAAUUAAUUAAAAUUCUGCACUAUAGAUCUGUGUUGGUAUUGCUGAGAAGUAGAGCUCCUUAUAGAGAAUCUAAGUUUCUCAUUGUGCCAGAACCUUUAUCCAGGUUUGCCCUGCAGUUUCGAUCCUUUUAUCCACAAGAUCCUCCCUGGGAUUUGCACUCAGGCCUCAAGGACAUAUUGGACAAAUGGAUGUGUUCAACAGAGGGUUCAGUGUCAUAAGGCAUGCCCAGUCUUUCUUGUAAAUUACAGCAUUCAAUCAGAGUUGUAAAAAACAAAUAGAGUAAGGAUUCAUUGUAUAACAAAUAAAAUAAACAUCUAGUUUUCUGCUGGUUCCAUGUACAGGACACAAUAACAUCUCAGUUUUAAAUAAAGUAACAUUUCUCCCCAAGCUCUCUCCACAUUUUCAGUUCCCAAAAGCUCUAGCCAAAGCUCAUCCAUUCCCCUCAUUCUAACUGGCCUUUCUCUAUUUCUGAAGAAUGCUAUCGCAUUUCCUAUCUGCAUCUUUCCCUAUUUCUGACUGGGUAUUUCUAAUAAUUCUACAAACAACUCUUAGAAUCAUAAGGUUUAAAGAGAUCCCAAGAGCCAUCCACUCCAACCCCAUUCUUUUAGGAAGGAAGACAUCAUGAAAGCACUCCCAAUGAUGUCAAAUCAGGCUCUACUUUAAAACCUCCGGAGAAGGAGACUUCACCAUACUGCCAGGCAGCUUCCACUGUCGAACAGUGCAGGAAUAUCUUGGUUAUAUCCUUUCCCCAAUAGCAACACACAUACACACACACAA